CAAAAGCGUAUAUUAAAGUUGUUGCAGUUAAAAAGCUCGUAGUCGAACCUAAGGGCAAACGUCCGUGCCCGACCUCUGGUCGUGGCGUGGAGUGCGCUCUUCCUUCUGUGGGUCGGUGUCGGCUUCACGGCCGGCGCCGGAACGCAGAUCCUUCACUUUGAGUAAAUUAGAGUGUUCAAAGCAGGCCUUCGCCUUGAAUAUUCUAGCAUGGAAUGAUAGAACAGGACUCUGGUUCAAUUGUGUUGGUCUAUUGGACCGGAGUAACGAUUAAUAGGGACAGUUGGGGGCAUUCAUAUUCCAUUGUCAGAGGUGAAAUUCUUGGAUUAACGGAAGAUGAACUUCUGCGAAAGCAUCUGCCAAGGAUGUUUUCAUUGA
rnacentral:rRNA from 1 species